rnacentral:rRNA from 1 species
UAGUCCACGCCCUAAACGAUGCGGGCUAGGUGUUGGUCCGGACCUGGACCGGUGCCGCAGCUAACGCGUUAAGCCCGCCGCCUGGGCAGUACGGCCGCAAGGCUGAAACUCAAGGGAAUUGACGGGGUCCCACACAAGCGGUGGAGCAUGUGGUUUAAUUCGAUGCUAAACGAAGAACCUUACCCGGGCUUGACAUGCAGGUGGUACCGCCCCGAAAGGGAAGGGACCCCGGGCCGAAAGGCGCCGGGGAGCCUGCACAGGUGCUGCAUGGCUGUCGUCAGCUCGUGCCGUGGGGUGUUGGGUUAAGUCCCGGAACGAGCGCAACCCUUGCCACCAGUUGCCAGCGGGCCCUGCGGGGCGCCGGGGACUCUGGUGGGACUGCCGGGGAAUACCCGGAGGAAGGAGGGGAUGACGUCAAGUCCUCAUGGCCCUUAUGCCCGGGGCGACACACAUGCUACAGUGCCCGGUACAAUGGGACGCCAAGGGGUGACCCGGAGCCAAUCCCAUCAAAGCCGGGCAUGGUUCGGAUUGCAGGCUGCAACCCGCCUGCAUGAAGAGGGAAUCGCUAGUAAUCGCGGGUCAGCCAUACCGCGGUGAAUACGUACUUGGGGCUUGUACACACCGCCCGUCACGCCAACCGAGUGGGGGGCACUUGAAGUCGUCCGAAAAGGGCGCCGAGGGUGUCCUUCAUGAGGGGGGCGAAGUCGUAACAAGGUAA